rnacentral:lncRNA from 1 species
CUCUGGUUCUGUUAUGGCUUUUCCAGCUACUAUCUUGUAAAUGAAACGUCUUUCCUUUUUUGGUGGAUUUCUUUUUGACAAAUUUGUUGAUUUAUAAUUGAAGAAAGCUGUAUUUUCAUCCGGUUUUUCAACAGUAAUUUUUUCAACAACAUAAAUUUGGAUGCUUCCAUUUUCCGGGUUUGAUGAUAUAGGUUCUGUGUCAGCAUUGAUCUCUGAAUUGGACAUUACAU